rnacentral:rRNA from 1 species
UACGGAGGGGGCUAGCGUUGUUCGGAAUUACUGGGCGUAAAGCGCACGUAGGCGGCUUUGUAAGUUAGAGGUGAAAGCCCGGGGCUCAACUCCGGAAUUGCCUUUAAGACUGCAUCGCUAGAAUUGUGGAGAGGUAAGUGGAAUUCCGAGUGUAGAGGUGAAAUUCGUAGAUAUCGAGAGGAACACCGAUGGCGAAGGCAGCUUCUUGGUCCAUUCCUGAUGCUGAUACGCGAAAGCGUGGGGAGCAAACAGG